rnacentral:tRNA from 1 species
GGGGGUACAGCUCAGUGGUGGAGCACGUGCUUAGCAUGCACGAGGUCCUGGGUUCAAUCCCAGUGCCUCCA